rnacentral:rRNA from 1 species
UAAGGAAUAUUGGUCAAUGCCCGGAAGGGUGAACCAGCCAUCCCGCGUGAAGGAUGAAGGGGCUCUGCCUUGUAAACUUCUUUUGAAUGGGACGAAAAAGCCUCACUUGUGAGGAACUGACGGUACCAUUAGAAUAAGCACCGGCUAACUCCGUGCCAGCAGCCGCGGUAAUACGGAGGGUGCGAGCGUUAUCCGGAAUCACUGGGUUUAAAGGGUGCGUAGGCGGCUGUAUAAGUCAGUGGUGAAAGGCUGUGGCUUAACCAUGGGAUUGCCAUUGAUACUGUACGGCUUGAAUUAGGAUGAGGUUGGCGGAAUGUGACAUGUAGCGGUGAAAUGCUUAGAUAUGUCAUGGAACAUCGAUUGCGAAGGCAGCUGACUGGACCUUAAUUGACGCUGAGGCACGAAAGCGUGGGGA